rnacentral:misc_RNA from 1 species
GAGUUUGCAAAGAAAUAUGAAAGAUAAUGUAUUACCAAUUACCGUUAAGCCUGUGUGUUCUUUUCACUAACACCGAGUAAUAUAGCAAGGUCCUCCACUAGUCAGCAAGUCAGCAACUUAUGUGGCUCAUUUUGCAAAACUGACCUGGAUAUUCAAAUUACUCUGAAACUGGUUGCUGACCUUUUGAUCCACUUGUUUCUCAUUUUACUAUCUGUUCUGUAUUACUGCAAUAAUCUAUGCAGCUGCUGCUCUAGUUCUUCACAUAUUUGAGGUUUAAACUCCAGAAGGCAUGUAACCAUGUUUGUGAGACUAUUGUUAAACUGUGGUGAUUGAGACACAAAAAGAUGACAAUAAGGUUUCCAUAAAGGUCAGUAUCAUUGUCAUAACAGCAAGUUUUUCUCGGUAAUUAUUCUUAUAUGAUUAUUUUACUUCUCUACAAAUUGUCAAAAUUGCCCUGGUUCUUACUUCUCUGUCUCAAUUCUUGUUUGACGUAGUACUGCAUAGGGAUUUUGCUUGAUCCACUUAAAAAUCAGGGAACCUGGCAGCCUAUUUUGUUCACAACUGCCACCAAGAAUUCAUUUUUUUUCCCCUAUUUCCUCUCCCUAUUAUAUUUGAGACUGUCAUCUGUAGAAGAGAAUAUAAAUAGUUUGUUAGAGUUAUGGCUAUUUUUUGUUGGUACAGCAAAAAGUUCUAUACAACAGUGAGAGGCAUGUCCAAGUAUAUGGCUUGACAGCAUAAUAAUUGGUAUGUUCCUGCAGGUCCUACCACUUUGUAGGGUACAGCUUCAGCUUUUUUUUGCGUUUUUCGGUGGUGGUGGUUAGAGAUUGUCUUAUUGGGAAUUAUGUUAUCCUAUUUUUAAAGUACAACUGUAUGUAACAACAAUGAUUAGUAUGUAGACUGUAGUGUACUAG